rnacentral:misc_RNA from 1 species
UUUCCGUAGGUGAACCUGCGGAAGGAUCAUUAUUGUAUAACCGAGGUGCGAGGGCCGUCGCUGACCCGACAGGCCGUGCACGCCCGAGUGCCCUCACACACAUCCAUCUCACCCCUAUGUGCACCACCGCGUGGGUCCCCCUUUGGCUUGUUCGGAGGGGGGCUUACGUUUUCACACAAACUUUGUAUGCAGUGUAGAAUGUAUUUUUUGUUUUUGCGAUCACGCAAUCAAUACAACUUUCAACAACGGAUCUCUUGGCUCUC